AUUGCUUCUCGGCCUUUUGGCUAAGAUCAAGUGUAGUAUCUGUUCUUAUCAGUUUAAUUAAGUGAUCCACCAACAAAAGCUUGAUCUUAGCAAACAUUCCUUCUCCCCACACAGCUUUACACAUCAAUCAGUAGCUUGUCUGUCUUUGAACCAGCAGCCUUGCUGUUGUUACAAUUUUUCAUCUUACAGCAGAGACUAU